rnacentral:rRNA from 1 species
UAGAUGCGAGAGUAGAGCAUAUCAAUAAGCGGAGGAAAAGAAACUAACUAAGGAUUCCCUUAGUAACGGCGAGUGAAGCGGGAAGAGCUCAAAUUUGAAAUCUUCAAGGUUCUACCUUGACGAAUUGUAGUUUAUAGAAGUGUUUUCUGUUAGUGGAGUUGGUAAAAGUUCUUUGGAAUAGGACAUCAUAGAGGGUGAGAAUCCCGUAUUUGACCAUUAUCUUCCAAGCUGUGUGAUACACUUUCAAAGAGUCGGAUUGUUUGGGAAUGCAGUCCAAAAUGGGUGGUAAAUUUCAUCUAAAGCUAAAUAUUGGCGAGAGACCGGUAGCGAACAAGUACCGUGAGGGAAAGAUGAAAAGAACUUUGAAAAGAGAGUUAAACAGUACGUGAAAUUGUCAAAAGGGAAGCGUUUGACACCAGUGUUGUUUUCUCGAAAAUCAAUUAAAAAAUGGCUGGGAUUUUGUGUUGUUAUGACUUUAUCAGCUUACUGCACUUUUUUCAUGUCUUUUUUAAUGCACUUUUCGUUUAACAAGUCAACAUCAAUUUCUUUUGUUGUAAAAGGGUCAUUGGAAGGUGGCUUUCAUUUCGGUGAAAGUGUUUAUAGCCUUUGACCUCUGCAAUCGGAGAGAUUGAGGUCUGCAGCGUAGAUCCUUCGGGGUUAGAUACAUUUGUGCUAAGUUAUAGUUUUUCAUAGACAACCUGUUGACUAUGAUUAAUCAUGUAGCUUACUCGCUUAUGCUAUUUUACCUACGCUUAGGAUGUUGACGCGCGUGUGUGCGUG